GGGUAGUUCAAUGGCAAGAGCAUCUGCUUUGCAUGCUGAAGGACCUAGGUUCAAUUCACAGCAUCUCCA